GGCGGUAUUUUAGUCUAUUCAGAGGAAUCUGUCCUAUAAUUGAUAAUCCACGAUUUAAUUUACUUUUAGAAAAAAUUUAUAUAUCGUCGUAGUUUGAAUAUUUUAAAAGAAUUUUAAUGUUCAAAAUUUUUUUUAUGAAAUUAAAUCAGAUCAAGGUGUAGUUUAUAUAAAAGAAGAGAUGGAUUACAUUAAAUUUAUUUAAAGAUUAAUUUUUGUAAAAUUUUAUGAAUAUGGAUUUGAUAGUAAUUUUUUUAAAAUUUUAAAAAUGAUUUAAGCUCUAAAAUAUGUA
rnacentral:rRNA from 1 species